GAGUUUGAUCCUGGCUCAGGAUGAACGCUGGCGGCGUGCCUAAUACAUGCAAGUCGAGCGAACAGAUGAGAAGCUUGCUUCUCUGAUGUUAGCGGCGGACGGGUGAGUAACACGUGGGUAACCUACCUAUAAGACUGGGAUAACUCCGGGAAACCGGGGCUAAUACCGGAUAAUAUAUUGAACCGCAUGGUUCAAUGUUGAAAGACGGUUUCGGCUGUCACUUAUAGAUGGACCCGCGCCGUAUUAGCUAGUUGGUAAGGUAACGGCUUACCAAGGCAACGAUACGUAGCCGACCUGAGAGGGUGAUCGGCCACACUGGAACUGAGACACGGUCCAGACUCCUACGGGAGGCAGCAGUAGGGAAUCUUCCGCAAUGGGCGAAAGCCUGACGGAGCAACGCCGCGUGAGUGAUGAAGGUCUUAGGAUCGUAAACCUCUGUUGUUAGGGAAGAACAAAUUUGUUAGUAACUGAACAAGUCUUGACGGUACCUAACCAGAAAGCCACGGCUAACUACGUG
rnacentral:rRNA from 1 species